UGAGGAAAGUAGGGGAUCGAAAGACCUUGCGCUUAAGGAGCGGCCGAUGUCUGAUUAGCUAGUUGGUGGGGUAAAGGCCUACCAAGGCAACGAUCAGUAGUUGGUCUGAGAGGACGACCAACCACACUGGGACUGAGACACGGCCCAGACUCCUACGGGAGGCAGCAGUGGGGAAUUUUGGACAAUGGGCGCAAGCCUGAUCCAGCCAUGCCGCGUGAGUGAAGAAGGCCUUCGGGUUGUAAAGCUCUUUCAGUUGGGAAGAAACGAUUGCAACUAAUAAUUGUAAUUAAUGACGGUACCGACAGAAGAAGCACCGGCUAACUACGUGCCAGCAGCCGCGGUAAUACGUAGGGUGCGAGCGUUAAUCGGAAUUACUGGGCGUAAAGGGUGCGCAGGCGGUUUUGUAAGUCAGAUGUGAAAUGCCCCGGGCUUAACCUGGGAAUGGCGUUUGAAACUACAAAGCUAG
rnacentral:rRNA from 1 species